rnacentral:rRNA from 1 species
AUACGUAGGUGGCAAGCGUUGUCCGGAAUUAUUGGGCGUAAAGCGCGCGCAGGUGGUUCCUUAAGUCUGAUGUGAAAGCCCCCGGCUCAACCGGGGAGGGUCAUUGGAAACUGGGGAACUUGAGUGCAGAAGAGGAUAGUGGAAUUCCAAGUGUAGCGGUGAAAUGCGUAGAGAUUUGGAGGAACACCAGUGGCGAAGGCGACUGUCUGGUCUGUAACUGACACUGAGGCGCGAAAGCGUGGGGAGCAAACAGGAUUAGAUACCCUGGUAGUCCACGCCGUAAACGAUGAGUGCUAAGUGUUGGGGGGUUUCCGCCCCUCAGUGCUGCAGCUAACGCAUUAAGCACUCCGCCUGGGGAGUACGGUCGCAAGGCUGAAACUUAAAGGAAUUGACGGGG